rnacentral:lncRNA from 1 species
GGAAAGUCUGUCUGCUGAGCUCGCACAGCUUCAGAAACAUGAGGCCUCUCUGAAAGAAACUCUGUGGAAUGAGAAAACACACAGAGAGAAUCUGGAGCAGGAGAAGAAAGUCCUGGAGGAAGAAAGUCCUGGAGGAAGAAAAUAAGAAAGUCCUGGAAGAGCAGAAAGUGGUGAAGGACACAAAAGAAAUGCAGAAAAAAAUGGACGAGCAGACAAAAGAAUUAGAGGAGGCAAAGACAGAGACAGUAGAAAUGGUAACCCCAGAGACAUACAUCCUCCAGAUGUAUCUGAGCACAGAUGAGAUCAACCAAAUACAGGAGACAAAGGCUGAAAUAUCACCAUGGGAGAAAACACUGAAAAUGCAGGAUAAGUUGUGUGUGAACAGACUGAUCCAGUUGGUGGUUUCACAGGCCAUAGAAAAAGUCUGCUCUAAAUACAAGCUCUUCACAGAGCGCCUCACUCCCGACUGCAUCAGCGAUCGCCUGAUUCAGAAAAUCUGGCCUGAAAUUGAAACAAUGAAACAUUUGGAUCUGUCGCCAAAACGGCUGAAAAAUCUAGACAAGGCCAUUAUCAAGGAUCUUUGCGUAGCACACAACUGCAAGGAAAAGUAUUUGAUUUUUAAUCUGAGGGAACAGCUUGAUAACUUUACUGUCCCAACCUUCACCAAACACCUGUUUGCAUUACCAAGAAGAGUACUCAGUGUGUCUAAAAACAGGGAAGAGUACAAGGAAGUGGUGAAAAAUGUCAUUGAAGAUGUGGUAAUGCACACUAUGAACCAAAGAAAUAAGUCAGCAGAUCCAGAUAUAGUUGAGUUUACUAUACAGAGGCUUAACAGUAAGAUGUGGAGCAAAAUUGUGUCCAAAAACUACAGAAUGUCUUUGGAGAACAUUGAACAACUCAGCCUGACAAUAUACACUGAACUCCAAGAAACGUGGCCUCCUUCAAUACUGAGGUCAAGCAACUCAUUGGUUGACAAACUAAUCAUGGCAACCUUCAAAAAACAUGCCAAACUGAGGAGACAAAACAUCAUCUUUAGGGCUUUCUCGUGUGCACGCUAAAAUUGAACUGACACGUGCAUGUAAUUGUGUGACAAAACUCUUAAAUGGGCUUAAAAUAUUCAUUUAGAUUGGGCAUCUAAAUUAAAUUUUCAAACCAGAGUGGUUAAAAAGAAACACUCUUCUCCCAACUUCCUUCCCUCAUCACCAACUGGCCGACGCAGAUGGCCACCUCAUCCCAGAGCCUGGGUGUGCCGGAGGUUUUUCUCUUUUAAAAGUGACUUUUUCCUUCCCACUAUUGUCAAAGUACUUGCUCUAGGGGGUUGGA